rnacentral:rRNA from 1 species
AUGCAGUCGAGCGGUAGCACAGGGAGCUUGCUCCUGGGUGACGAGCGGCGGACGGGUGAGUAAUGUCUGGGAAACUGCCUGAUGGAGGGGGAUAACUACUGGAAACGGUAGCUAAUACCGCAUAACGUCGCAAGACCAAAGAGGGGGACCUUCGGGCCUCUUGCCAUCAGAUGUGCCCAGAUGGGAUUAGCUAGUAGGUGGGGUAAUGGCUCACCUAGGCGACGAUCCCUAGCUGGUCUGAGAGGAUGACCAGCCACACUGGAACUGAGACACGGUCCAGACUCCUACGGGAGGCAGCAGUGGGGAAUAUUGCACAAUGGGCGCAAGCCUGAUGCAGCCAUGCCGCGUGUAUGAAGAAGGCCUUCGGGUUGUAAAGUACUUUCAGCGAGGAGGAAGGCAUUGUGGUUAAUAACCACAGUGAUUGACGUUACUCGCAGAAGAAGCACCGGCUAACUCCGUGCCAGCAGCCGCGGUAAUACGGAGGGUGCAAGCGUUAAUCGGAAUUACUGGGCGUAAAGCGCACGCAGGCGGUCUGUCAAGUCGGAUGUGAAAUCCCCGGGCUCAACCUGGGAACUGCAUUCGAA